ACUUCUGCGCGCGGGAGUUCGAGGCCCUGCGGAGCUGCUUCGCCGCCGCGGUUUAAUCGCCUGCCGCGUGCUUUAGACGCCGGCUGACAAAACCACCGAGCCACCGACGAGCCCGCGAAACCUCGGCCGUCCUGGGCUUGUCCCUGCAUGUUUGUAAAGCGGGACUGGCGCCAACCU
rnacentral:sRNA from 1 species